rnacentral:pre_miRNA from 1 species
GUUCCCUGUCCACAGUGAGCUUACGGUCUAGUGGAAAGGAUAUGACCACUGCCUUCCAGGAGCAAAAAAUUCCACUGGGACACUUCGAGGAAGUAUUUGAUGUCUGCCUUACAGUCCCCUAGACUGUAAGCUCACUGUGGGCAGGGAAU